AUGGGUGGCUGUUUCACCAAGGCACGCACACGCAGCCCUUCUUCACCGUGGGCGGACCUCCCGCCGGAGGUUGCGGGGCUCAUCCUCUGCCGACUGCCGUCGUACACCGACCGGCUCAGCUUCCGGGCCGUCUGCCACUGGUGGCGAGUCGCCGCGCAGCAGCAGCGGCCGGUGCUGCCGCCGGCUCUGCCGUGGCUCCACCAGCGCAUGGACACGUACCAAAGCCUGGCGGACGGCAAGGUGCAGCGCUUCGCCGUGCCGCGGGCGCCCUGCAACUCGUCCGGCCGCGACGACUUCGACGGGAUGCUCCGCAACUUCGGCAGCUGGGUCCUGUACGAGCACCACCACGACGACUACAAGAGCUACAGGCGGCGAUGCUUGCUGCGUAAUCCUUUCUCCGGCGCCACCGUGCACAUACCGUGGCGCUCCAUUGACGGCGGCGAACGGCCGCUCAUGGAGUUUAUUUUGAAGUUGAUCGUGUGCUCGCCCGAGCUCGUCGCGGCGCUGGUCUUCGUGCCGAGCGGGGUCGCGUUUUUCCGGCCGGGCGCUGCUGGCUUCUCGUGGUCGUUCAGCCCGGCUGAUGAUAGUUAUAUAACGUACAAGGACAUUGCCUUUUUCCGUGGAAACCUAUACGCUCUCAACAGGAGAGGGGAGCUCUUCACCACCAUGACUUGGGUCGUCAGCAUGUCAUCAAGACACCGCCUCCGGCGACGAAAUUCAGUGAGCUUCCUGACGAUUGUCGAUCCUUCAUCCAGCACCUGGUUGUAUCAUCAUCAUCUGGCAAGCUACUGA
rnacentral:rRNA from 1 species